GAUGAAGAACGUAGCGAAAUGCGAUAAGUAAUGUGAAUUGCAGAAUUCAGUGAAUCAUCGAAUCUUUGAACGCACCUUGCACCCUUUGGCAUUCUGAAGGGUAUGCUCGUUUGAGUGUCAUUGUACUCUCACACUCCCGAUCUUUGCAUUGGGAGCAGUGGACUUGGGUUUGCUGCUUCACCGUCUCUUACCUCAAAUAGGUUAGUGCAACUCUUGGUUGGACAUAGUACGGCGUGAUAAGUGUUCUUCGCCGGUGCCUCGCAAAGAGGGUGGCCGAUCGGGAUGUUGUGCUCCAAACCGUCUUCGGACAAUCUCUGACGACUUGACCUCAAAUCGAGUAAGACUACCCGCUGAACUUAAGCAUAUCAAUAAGCGGAGGA
rnacentral:misc_RNA from 1 species